UUGGAGGGCAAGUCUGGUGCCCGCAGCCGCGGUAAUUCCAGCUCCAAUAGCGUAUAUUAAAGUUGUUGCAGUUAAAAAGCUCGUAGUUGAAUUUCGGGAUUGACACAUCGGUCGUGCCUUAAGGGGUAUGAACUGGUGUAGUCAAUUUCUCACCUUCUGGAGAACCGCGAUGCCCUUAAUUGGGUGCCGCGGGGAACCAGGACCUUUACUUUGAAAAAAUUAGAGUGUUUAAAGCAGGCAUUUUGCUUGAAUACAUUAGCAUGGAAUAAUAAAAUAGGACGGCAUGAUUCUAUUUUGUUGGUUUCUAGGAUCACCGUAAUGAUUAAUAGGGAUAGUUGGGGGCAUUAGUAUUCAAUUGUCAGAGGUGAAAUUCUUGGAUUUAUUGAAGACUAACUACUGCGAAAGCAUUUGCCAAGGAUGUUCUCAUUAAUCAAGAACGAAAGUUAGGGGAUCGAAGACGAUCAGAUACCGUCGUAGUCUUAACCAUAAACUAUGCCGACUAGGAAUCAGUCGAUGUUAAUUUUUUAAUGACUCGUUUGGCACCUUACGGGAAACCAAAGUGUUUGGGUUC
rnacentral:rRNA from 1 species